rnacentral:rRNA from 1 species
CGCAUCUGUGCAUGCAGCAUAUCAAUAAGCGGAGGAAAAGAAACUAACAAGGAUUCCCUUAGUAACGGCGAGUGAAGCGGGAAGAGCUCAAAUUUGAAUCUUCAAGGUUUUACCUUGACGAAUUGUAGUUUAAAGAAGUGUUUUCUGUUGAAGUUUUGGUAAAAGUUCUUUGGAAUAGGACAUCAUAGAGGGUGAGAAUCCCGUAUUUGACCAUUAUUUUCAGCUGUGUGAUACACUUUCAAAGAGUCGGAUUGUUUGGGAAUGCAGUCCAAAAUGGGUGGUAAAUUUCAUCUAAAGCUAAAUAUUGGCGAGAGACCGAUAGCGAACAAGUACCGUGAGGGAAAGAUGAAAAGAACUUUGAAAAGAGAGUUAAACAGUACGUGAAAUUGUCAAAAGGGAAGCGUUUGACACCAGUGUUGUUUUCUCGAAAAUCAAUUAAAAAGAGUUAGAUUUUGUUGUGUAUUGACCUUAACAGCUUGCAUUUCAAUUUUCUUGCUUUUUUUAAUGCACUUUUCGUUUAACAAGUCAACAUCAGUUUCUUUUGUUGUAAAAAGGUCAUUGGAAGGUGGCUUUCUUUUCGGAGAAAGUGUUUAUAGCCUUUGACUCCUGCAAUCGGAGAGACUGAGGUCUGCAGCGUAGAUCCUUCGGGGUUAGAUACAUUUGUGCUAAGUUAUAGCUUUUUAUAGACAACUUGUUGACUAUGAUUAGUCUUGUAGCUUACUCGCUUAUGCUAUUUUACCUACGCUUAGGAUGUUGACACGCGCGCGUGCUCG